rnacentral:rRNA from 1 species
GUGAGGAAUUUUCCGCAAUGGGCGAAAGCCUGACGGAGCAAUGCCGCGUGAAGGACGAAGGCCUAUGGGUUGUAAACUUCUUUUCUCAGAAAAGAAUUAUGACGGUAUCUGAGGAAUAAGCAUCGGCUAACUCUGUGCCAGCAGCCGCGGUAAGACAGAGGAUGCAAGCGUUAUCCGGAAUGAUUGGGCGUAAAGCGUCUGUAGGUUGUUUAAAAAGUAUUCUGUCAAAGAUUAGGGCUUAACCCUAGAUAGGCAGAAUAAACUUUUAAGCUAGAGUUUGGUAGAGGCAGAGGGAAUUCCCGGUGGAGCGGUGAAAUGCGUAGAUAUCGGGAGGAACACCAAAGGCGAAGGCACUCUGCUGGGCCAAUACUAACACUGAGAGACGAAAGCGAGGGGAGCAAAUGGGAUUAGAUACCCCUGUAGUCC